rnacentral:rRNA from 1 species
GACGAACGCUGGCGGCGUGCCUAAUACAUGCAAGUCGAACGCAGUGGGGACGGGUGAGGAACACGUGGGUAACCUCCCAUCAGAGGGGAUAACACUUGGAAACAGGUGCUAAACCGAUACUGAUGGAUGGACCCGCGGGGCAUUAGCUAGUUGGUGGGGUAACGGCUCACCAAGGCCACGAUGCAUAGCCGACCUGAGAGGGGGAUAUGCCACACUGGGACUGAGACACGGCCCAGACUCCUACGGGAGGCAGCAGUGGGGAAUCUUCGGCAAUGGACGAAAGUCUGACCGAGCAACGCCGCGGGAGUGAAGAAGGUUUUCGGAUCGUAAAGCUCUGUUGUUGGAGAGGCGGUAUCUAACCAGAAAGCAACGGCUAACUACGUGCCAGAAGCCGCGGUAAUUC